rnacentral:rRNA from 1 species
UUUGAUGGCGACCGGCGCACGGGUGAGUAACACGUAUCCAACCUGGCCGAUGACUCGGGGAUAGCCUUUCGAAAGAAAGAUUAAUACCCGAUGGCAUAGUUCUUCCGCAUGGUGGAACUAUUAAAGAAUUUCGGUCAUCGAUGGGGAUGCGUUCCAUUAGGUUGUUGGCGGGGUAACGGCCCACCAAGCCUUCGAUGGAUAGGGGUUCUGAGAGGAAGGUCCCCCACAUUGGAACUGAGGCACGGUCCAAACUCCUACGGGAGGCAGCAUG